GGUCGGGGAGGGCAGCCGGGGCGCGGCGGCCCCGCCCAGGCCCGCGGGAGCUGGGGCCCGUUCCCAUAGGGAUCGCGAGCGGGUGGCGGGCGAGAGUCGGCGAGGCCGGAGCGGGCAGAGGCCUGCACCCGCGGCGCCACUUUGGUGAAGACCCUGCCGUGGAGGGCGCCUCUCCUGCCGGCUAGUCACAUUCCGGUGUUUCCAAGCCAGUUUUUCAAAUUAUGUGAAGAUCCCUUCUGAGAAGAUUUAUUCCUCUGGGAUGGAGAAGUAUGAAAAAAUUGGGAAAAUUGGCGAAGGCUCCUACGGAGUUGUUUUCAAAUGCAGAAACAGGGACACGGGCCAGAUUGUGGCCAUCAAGCGGUUUCUGGAAUCAGAAGAGGACCCUGUCAUAAAGAAAAUUGCCCUGCGAGAAAUUCGCAUGCUCAAGCAACUCAAGCAUCCCAACCUUGUCAACCUUAUUGAAGUUUUCAGGAGGAAGCGGAAGCUUCACCUGGUGUUUGAAUACUGUGACCACACGGUUCUCCAUGAGCUAGACAGAUACCAGAGAGGGGUGCCAGAACAUCUCGUGAAGAGCAUAACUUGGCAGACACUGCAAGCUGUAAAUUUUUGCCAUAAACACAAUUGCAUACACAGAGAUGUGAAGCCAGAAAAUAUCCUCAUCACAAAGCAUUCAGUGAUCAAACUUUGUGACUUUGGAUUUGCUCGGCUUUUAACUGGACCAAGUGACUACUAUACAGAUUAUGUGGCUACCAGGUGGUACCGCUCCCCAGAGCUGUUGGUGGGGGACACACAGUAUGGCCCUCCUGUGGAUGUUUGGGCAAUUGGCUGUGUAUUUGCUGAGCUGCUAUCAGGUCUGCCUCUGUGGCCAGGAAAAUCAGAUGUGGAUCAGCUCUACCUGAUUAGGAAAACCUUGGGAGAUCUCAUUCCUAGGCACCAGCAAGUAUUUAGUAUGAAUCAAUACUUCAGUGGGGUGAAAAUUCCAGACCCUGAAGAUAUGGAACCACUUGAAUUAAAAUUUCCAAGUAUUUCUUAUCCAGCCAUGGGACUUCUAAAGAUCUGUCACUUUAAGAAUUUGCCCAGAAGAGGAAAUUAUGUUCUUGCAGGGCUGUCUCCAUAUGAAUCCUGCAGAGAGGCUGACCUGUGAACAGCUGUUGCAGCACCCAUAUUUUGACAGCAUCCGAGCAAUAGCAGAUUCGGCCAAAGGACCUGACAAACCAGUGAGAAAGACACUGAAACCAAGUCGAAAACAUCUGCCGGGGUUGCAACACCUACCUCAGCUGACUAACAGCAGUAUCCUUCCAGCUUUGGAUACUAAGAAAUACUACUAUAAUACCAAGAAACUUAACUAUCGCUUCCCAAACAUUUAAGAAGUUUGGAGACUGAUGAUAAGGGAAAAAAAGGACAAUCAAAAACUUGAAGAAAAUUAAACAUAUGUUUGACUAAAAAUAAUCACAAUGUUGAAAAAACAUUGAGAGAAUUUAAGCAACUAACCAGGAAGCCACUUGGCAAGAUAUGGUGGGAAAUUCCAGAUGUAGUCUUUAUAUUUGAUGUGGGUAACGAGAACAGAAAGGAGAAACUUAGGUUUUCACUUAUAUUCUUUGUUGUAAGUAACUGAACUUAUGGACAGAAUACAAGUGGAUUUUAUGUUGGCAAGAUUUAUGCUCCAGUUGUACUAUAUGUAACAUGUGAAAAGGAAUAACAAAAUGCCGACAGGUAUUUCCUUGGGUCUGUUUUCUUAAUCCUAUCUUCUCCCUUUAUAGAUUGUCUCAGUAUCAUAGGGAAAUUUCUUAUUCUUGAAAUCCAAAUGUUUGAAAUUCCACUUCUUACUUUGUUUUGAUUUUUAUAUUUUAAAACAUUCCAAGAAUAUUUAGGAGUUCAAAUAUUUAAAGUAAUGUAGGUCAUCAUGAAACACUAGCAUUUAUAUACUUCUGUAUUUAAUGCUGUGUAGGUACUUCUUAACAUGUAUUUCUGUAUUUAAUGUUAGUAUUGGACUAUCAUAUUUUAGCAGGCAAUGAUUAUUGUCAUGCAUGUAUACUUAUUCAUCCAAUUCUCCCUUGUAAAUAAUGCCAUGAAGCCUGGUGACUGACCAGGGGUGUCAAGGGAUAGGACAAGGCCUGCAGACGUCACAGGAACUGAGCCUGUGUGUGUGAAAAGUUUGAAAAAUAAUUAGUGCUUCAUUCUCUUCGGCUCAGCCUCAGACAUGUCCUAUAGGCAGGACUAUACAUAGUGAUCUAUAUAUACAUAUGGUGGGAAAUUCCAGAUGUAGUCUGGAACAGCCUGAACUGUUAUUUGGGUUGUGAAAGUGCUUAGGCCAUAAACUAUUUUUUUCCACCCUGAAAGGUAUCUUUUUGCGUAUAAGUACUAACAAUAAAGCAGUCCAAAUGAUAUUGAGGUUUGCUAACUUUGUACAGUGAUACAGAUGAUGCAUCUAAUUGGUCUGUAGUAGCUCUUAUUCAAAAAGACCUUUUUUUUUUAUCCUUGUGUCCCAGACACAGAGAAACUGCAUGUCCAUGUCAGUUUUUUAUAGACCAACACCAUUUUUUUUCAAAUGUGCUGCUGCUUCCUAGCAUUUCUCAGAUAUGAUCUUUGAAGUUGUAUUUUACUAUAUCUUCUAAACAUUGUUUCAGAACUCUUUAUUGCUGUUCUUUUGUGAGAAUAUCUGACCUCAUUCCAUUUACUGUAAAGUAGUACACCAAAUUACUGCCACUGUUCAAUAACUUUGGCUAUUCCAGCCAGCUAAUAUCCCCAGGCUUCCUGAUGUAUGUAGCACCAUGCAGUGAGCUGACAGAGGGCUAAAGUACAGUAGCCCCAGUAUCAAUUGAUUUAAAUGACAAGGAAGACAUCAAGCUUCUGUGAAUAGUUUACAUUCUGUUUUUUUUUCAACCCUGAACAAUGCACCUGACUGGCAGAUGAUUAAAACUGCCAAGCUUAUCCAGUAGUCUUACAGAAAGCCAUUCUGAAUAGAAAAGUAGUUCCAGACUAACUUUGGUGAAUCCAUUUUCUCAUCACACGAUAGCCAAACAAUCCUGAGAUAGAAGGACUCAUUUUUUUUCCAAAUUCUAAUAAGUAAAUGUUUAUGCUUAAUUUUACCCUCUUUGAAUCUUUCCUUCAGCAUGGAAUCUUCACUGUUUCACCAGUGUGCUAAACCACUGUCUUUUUAAAAUUUUACUAUUUUCUGACUCUUUAAAAUGAUAGUGGGAAUUAUUUUGGUAAGUAGUAGGUAUCAUUUGUUUUCUUAACUACUAACACAUUUUUUUCUACCUGACUGUUAAAUCACCGUAAAAAUUUAAAAUUAUUUCCAGACAAAGUUAUAUUCAACUGUUUAAUGUAUAAACCAAAUGUACAGAAAUUGACCAAGUUGAUAUACUAUCUGAUAACAGAAUUAAAGCUAUUUCAAGCAAGUGAAAAAUAAAAAUUUGUUUUGUGUA